CGAUGGAGGGGGAUAACUACUGGAAACGGUAGCUAAUACCGCAUAACGUCGCAAGACCAAAGAGGGGGACCUUCGGGCCUCUUGCCAUCGGAUGUGCCCAGAUGGGAUUAGCUAGUAGGUGGGGUAACGGCUCACCUAGGCGACGAUCCCUAGCUGGUCUGAGAGGAUGAUCAGCCACACUGGGACUGAGACACGGCCCAG
rnacentral:rRNA from 1 species